rnacentral:lncRNA from 1 species
ACCCCCUUCCCGAAAAAGAGAAGGAGGUCACGUACAAAGCACAACAAACCUCAAAAUAAAUAAACAGAGCACUAAUAACUUCAAAAUAUUAAUAACGAUAUCCAUCAAUGAAGUACUAAAUAUAAUUCUCCAACUAGAAUCAAAAUAAUCAAAAAAAAAUAAAAUCAAAACCACCUAGAUGGUCAAAGACAACUCUCUCAUCACACUAGCCCUGAAUCACCCCUGCAAACCUGCCGGAAGAAAAACACAGCAUGAGCCAAUUGCCCAGUACGAAUACAGAUAUACAAAAGAUAUACAACUGAUAUACGAAAAUAACUGAGACAAAAUACUGAACAAAGCCUCAAGUGCAAAUACGAACGAAAAUAUAAUAUCCAAA